ACUACGGGUGGCAGCAGUAGGGAAUAUUGCGCAAUGGGGGAAACCCUGAAGCAGCAACGCCGCGUGGAGGAUGAAGGUUUUCGGAUUGUAAACUCCUUUUGUUAGAGAAGAAAAUGACGGUAUGUAACGAAUAAGCACCGGCUAACUCCGUGCCAGCAGCCGCGGUAAUACGGAGGGUGCAAGCGUUAUGCGGAAUCACUGGGCGUAAAGAGCGCGUAGGCGGGAUAGCAAGUCAGAUGUGAAAUCCUAUGGCUUAACCAUAGAACUGCAUUUGAAACUGUUAUUCUAGAGUAGGGGAGAGGUAGGUGGAAUUCGUGGUGUAGCGGUGAAAUGCGUAGAGAUCAAGAGGAAUACUCAUUGCGAAGGCGGCCUGCUAGACCGUAACUGACGCUGAUGCACGAAAGCGUGGGGAGCAAACAGGAUUAGAUACCCCUGUAGUC
rnacentral:rRNA from 1 species